CUGAGAACUUGCCCUCUGGGUAGAUCUCCCACCCUCUGUUUAUAUACUUUGUUGCUUUGGCAGGCCUGCAUCUGUGCUACUGGCCUUGGCUAGUUAGUGCCUGCCAGAGAACCAACACUCUGAAUCAUUUAUUGUCUGAGUACUAUUUAAUAGUUA
rnacentral:misc_RNA from 1 species